rnacentral:rRNA from 1 species
CCUACGGGAGGCAGCAGUGGGGAAUAUUGCACAAUGGGGGAAACCCUGAUGCAGCGACGCCGCGUGAGUGAAGAAGUAUUUCGGUAUGUAAAGCUCUAUCAGCAGGGAAGAAAAUGACGGUACCUGACUAAGAAGCCCCGGCUAACUACGUGCCAGCAGCCGCGGUAAUACGUAGGGCGCAAGCGUUAUCCGGAUUUACUGGGUGUAAAGGGAGCGUAGAUGGCUGUUCAAGUCUGAAGUGAAAGCCCAUGGCUUAACCAGGGAACUGCUUGGGAAACUGUGCAGCUGGAGUGCAGGAGAGGUGAGCGGAAUUCCUAGUGUAGCGGUGAAAUGCGUAGAUAUUAGGAGGAACACCAGUGGCGAAGGCGGCUUACUGGACGGUAACUGACGUUGAGGCUCGAAAGCGUGGGGAGCAAACAGGAUUAGAUACCCGAGUAGUC